UACGGAGGGGGCUAGCGUUGUUCGGAAUUACUGGGCGUAAAGCGCACGUAGGCGGCUGUUCAAGUCAGAGGUGAAAGCCUGGAGCUCAACUCCAGAACUGCCUUUGAAACUAGACAGCUAGAAUCAUGGAGAGGUGAGUGGAAUUCCGAGUGUAGAGGUGAAAUUCGUAGAUAUUCGGAAGAACACCAGUGGCGAAGGCGGCUCACUGGACAUGUAUUGACGCUGAGACGCGAAAGCGUGGGGAGCGAACGGGG
rnacentral:rRNA from 1 species